AGAGUGACGGGCGAUAUGUACACAUUUAAUAUUGAAAAUCAUUUAAGCAUAUUAAAAUUAAAUUACAUUCAAAUCCAGUUUUUUUUUUUUUUAAAAAGAAUACCAGUUUUUGUUAAAUUGUAACCCACCUUUAUCCUACUAAGGCUGCACCUGGAUCUAUUUUUUAGAAUUUUUUUUUUAAUUUAAAUAAUCUUUUUAAGAAGAUAUUUAUACAACGGUAUACAUACUUUUAGAAGGUAAGAUAUAUCGUGGGUUAUCGUUUAUUAGGCAGGUUCCUCUGAGGUUAUAAAAUGCCGCCAAGUUCUUUAGGUUUCAAGAUAAUAACUAUUAGUAC
rnacentral:rRNA from 1 species